AUUGAACGCUGGCGGCAUGCCUUACACAUGCAAGUCGAACAGCAGCACGGGAGCAAUCCUGGUGGCGAGUGGCGAACGGGUGAGUAAUGUAUCGGAACGUGCCCAGUCGUGGGGGAUAACGUAGCGAAAGCUACGCUACUACCGCAUACGAUCUGUGGAUGAAAGCGGGGGACCGUAAGGCCUCGCGCGAUUGGAGCGGCCGAUAUCAGAUUAGGUAGUUGGUGGGGUAAAGGCCUACCAAGCCGACGAUGUGUAGCUGGCCUGACAGGACGACCAGCCACACUGGGACUGAGACACGGCCCAGACUCCUACGGGAGGCAGCAGUGGGGAAUUUUGGACAAUGGGCGCAAGCCUGAUCCAGCAAUGCCGCGUGCAGGAUGAAGGCCUUCGAGUUGUAAACUGCUUUUGUACGGAGCGAAAAGGCUCUCUCUAAUACAGGGGGCUCAUGACGGUACCGUAAGAAUAAGCACCGGCUAACUACGUGCCAGCCGCCGCCGUAA
rnacentral:rRNA from 1 species